ensembl:antisense 1700007P06Rik RIKEN cDNA 1700007P06 gene
AUGGCCAGUGUGAGCGGAGAGAUGAAGUUGGACCCAGGAAGCACUGCUCAAGCAGCAGUGAAGAAAGCCUCUGAGGCUUCUUAGGAGACUGAGCCUGGCUGAGGAAAGGAUCUCUGAUUUGUCAAGAUAAAUUUCAAAACAAGACAAAAAAGCAAAACUGGAGCAGAAUGUCCAAGAGGUACGGUAGCAAGCAUGGUUCAAGAACCUGUGCUGAACCAUGGCUGAAAGAACCAUGAUGCUCAGCAUGAAUGAAGGAAGGCAGAAAGGAAGAGGACAAGGGAGGCGGAAGGAAGGGAUUGAUGAAUGAGACAGGGGGAGGAAGGGAAGAAGAGAACGAAGAAAGAAGAGAAAGAAACUAGAACAAAAUAUUUAAGGAUUGAGGGAAAAGAAGCACUGACUUGCACCGCCGCCUCCCACAAGUGUGAAGGGGAAACGAGCAUCUUGGAAUAAAGAGCCGUGGAUCUGCUGUGUGGUUCCCCAGCGCCAGGGAAGCACUGCCAGGGAACAGUGAGGAUGCUGGGAUGCUCCAACGCCUCCCUCAGCCCUGAAGCAGGCUGAUCCAGAUUUUGACCUUGCUGCCACUGAGAAGGAAAUUACCUAAGGUGGAGCCUUCUGACCUAGAUGGCUCUUUUGUUCUGUCACCUGCCACUGCUCUCUCCAAGACACUACACUGCCUGCUGAGAAGCCCCUGAGACAUUCCUGAGGAACAUCCUAUUCUGCACAUUGCCUACAGGCUGGCUCCAGACACCAAGAAUGGACUGGCGGGGGAUGGGCCUUCCCCUUUUAUAAGUAGACUCUGUUAGUAAACUGGAGGGCCUUGAGC